rnacentral:tRNA from 1 species
GCGCCGUAAGCAUUGAUGGUGAUGCUCUGGACUUUUAAUCCUGAGAGUAGGGUUCGAGUCCCUAACGGCGCACCC